GCUGGUGUGGCUCAGGGGUAGAGCAGCGCACUCGUAAUGCGCAGGUCGUCGGUUCGAAUCCGACCACCAGCUCCA
rnacentral:tRNA from 6 species